AAAACGCUGCGCAACUGGCGAUACAUGGCGAGCUGCCGUCACACACUGACGGCGCCGCCUGAGGUGGUGAACCACCGGGGAGCGCAGCCAGCCCUAGGGGCUUCUAAUGCCCGGGCUGAGUCAGCCGUUCGCCUGGGCAGCCCUC
rnacentral:ncRNA from 2 species